CACACGUCAUGAUAAAAGAAAGCACGACUUUGCAGUAUGGUUAAGUUUUAUCAGUGAGCUAGUGUUAAUUAUUAAUUAAUUUAAAUAAAUAUUGUGACUGUUUGGCGCAUUUAUGAAUAAAUUUUUAAGUAAAAUAAAUCAUUGCUAUUUCAUAUUAAUCAUAAAAAAAUGCCGUGCUGGUACUUUGAGAAAGAAGAAUUAAAAAAUACUCCGUCUAUUCAAGAUGGAAUUGAUUAUGAGACUGAAUGUCGCUAUCGAAAAGAAGGUGCUAGAUUUAUUAUUGACACAGGAUCUAAAAUGGACUUGGGAUAUAAUACAAUGGCAACUGGAGUUGUGUAUUUUCAUAGAUUUUAUAUGUUUCAUUCAUUUAAACAAUUUCCUAGAUAUGUUACAGCUUGUUGCUGUUUAUGUUUAGCUGGUAAAGUUGAAGAAACUCCUAAAAAAUGCAGGGAUAUAAUUAAUACUGCCAAAACAUUAUUGACUAAACAAAAGUUUAUGACUUUCGGAGAAGAUCCAAAGGAAGAAGUGAUGACUUUAGAAAGGAUUUUACUUCAAACAAUUAAAUUUGAUCUCCAAGUAGAACAUCCUUAUAGUUAUUUGAUAAAAUAUGCCAAAUGUUUGAAGGGAGAUAAAGGGAAGUUACAAAAAAUGGUUCAAAUGGCUUGGACAUUUGUCAAUGACAGUUUAUGUACAACACUAUCAUUACAAUGGGAGCCAGAAAUAAUAGCAAUAGCUCUAAUGUAUUUAGCAAGUAAACUGAGUAAAUUCGAGGUUGUAGACUGGAUUGGAAGACAACCUAAGCACUUGAGGUGGUGGGAUAUGUUUGUGGAAGACUUAACGAUGGAUCUCCUAGAAGACAUUUGUCAUCAAGUGUUGGAUUUAUAUUCAUCACAAUCAGACAACUCAAAGCCUCCAGAUUCACCUCCAAUAAUGGCUACCAAUACCCCUAAUCGAGAUAGUGUUGCUCCACCGCCACCACCUCCACUUCCACCAGCUCCACCAUCGGAAUCAACUCCUACUACUCCAAAUGGUAGGACAGGAAUAUUUUCUUCCAUCAAUACUGAUGGGGAACCUCACAAAUUAAAUAUGCCGUUCAUCUUUUUAGCAUCAAAACCAUCAAAAAUACCUAAACUCGACGUAACACCAGGUCCGUCAAAUGGUUGUCCACCUGUGGAUCCACCAGUGGAAGGUGCGAAGCCUUUAGAAAUACCUCCACCUCAUUAUCCUCCAUAUUCUACUAAUUUUCCAACCGCUGCUCCUUAUCCUCCCGUAUUUCCACCAGCUAAUAUAUCUGUUCCUCCUCCACCAGUAAACGCCAUGAAUCAUAUGGUACCACCAAUGCGUUUGGGACCAACACCUCCACCUAUCAGACCUACUCCACCUCAUCCUGCACCUGGUCCACCCUUUCCACCAUAUGGAUAUCCCACAAAUGCUUAUUUCCCUUCAGGUACUCCUGCACCACCACCACCAACUCCUCCUCCACCACCACGUCCUCCAUAUUAUCCUCCACAGCCACAGUAAAGAACGAGGUCGAAGUCUUGGAGAGAUAAAAAUUGGAAUCGAUCACCAGUGAUUUUUAUUCCAGGAGAUGGUGGAAGCCAAGUUGAAGCUAAACUUAAUAAAACUACUGUUCCAC
rnacentral:misc_RNA from 1 species